rnacentral:rRNA from 1 species
UACGAAGGGGGCUAGCGUUGUUCGGAAUUACUGGGCGUAAAGGGCUCGUAGGCGGCCAACUAAGUCAGACGUGAAAUCCCUCGGCUUAACCGGGGAACUGCGUCUGAUACUGGAUGGCUUGAGUUUGGGAGAGGGAUGCGGAAUUCCAGGUGUAGCGGUGAAAUGCGUAGAUAUCUGGAGGAACACCGGUGGCGAAGGCGGCAUCCUGGACCAACACUGACGCUG